UGGACCGUGGUGGGGGCGGACACUCAGCUCCGCUACGGCCGUGACGGCCGCUGGUGGCCGUACCGCAGGAUCGGCUCCCGCUGGGCCCCC
rnacentral:tRNA from 1 species